UUUGCCGGCAGUUACAUACAUCCUCAUUUCACUCCAAUCUGGUAUAAUCAUAACCAGAAUUGUUUGUAACCGUUCCUAGGCGUGAUUAGUCAAUGAUGACCCCCUAAUUUAUCUUCAUUCUCCCAUUAUACCAUUAUUAUCAUUUUUUGGAAAGAGAUUACAUUACUCAUUCAACCAUAAAAUAUAACAUAUCUUAAUUAUUCAACAUUGCAAUAUAAACUUUGAUCUCCUGUUGAAAUUCAUAUCCCAAAUCUUCUUCGUCGCUCUUUUUCAGCGUUCUUCUCCGGCAUAAGGUCAACGUCCUCGUUUGUGUUGAAAUGGAAAUGGCUUACGAAGGUCAAGCUGCUGUUAUUCCAGAUUGAACAUUCUUUGGGGAUACAGUACCUUCAGUGUCUUCGAAGGAUAAAGCACAGAGGAUUGAGAAUCUGUACGGGGCAUCUCGACCGAGUGUUGUUAACGUGCACCCUCCCAAUGUAGUGAGUACAAAGGGAUCUGGCAGCAGUUCUAGAAAGAGAAUUGCAACAGCAACUGAGAAGGCUAUCAUACUACAGAAUAAACCUAAGAGGCAAUGUGCAAAGUGUCGAUUAAUGGGCCAUCACGAUGCAAGGAAUUGUGGUAGGGAGAAAGGAAAAUCCAAAAUGUAGGAUUUUUGCUUAUUUUCCAUACUGUUUUAAAGAACAUCUUAAAGUGAAAGAGUUAUUUUGCACUUGGUAGUGUUUUUCCCAUUUACGUUCUCUUUUA